CCCCCCCAGCCAAGAUAGAAAUUCUAAGAGCUAGUGAAAAUCUAGGUGUCAUAAUCACAAAAGAAAAACUAGAUAAGGUCAGGGACAUCGAAACAACUCUAGAAAAUGGAGGCCUUGCAUUAAUUCAGCAACUUCGUAAAGAGGGAAGAAAACACAUACCAGUAAUUACACAGAAAUUUCAUUACUACUCUUAGAAUACAAAAUCAUAUUGACAGCUCUUCUAGACACAUUAAAUCCUCAAUCCAAUGAACAAACUAGAGAGUAUCAAAGCUGGCUUUAGGUAACAGAACCUGCCCAGAGCAAAUUCUAAGCCUUAGAUUGGAAAGGAAUUCUGCCUUAUGCAAGACAUUUUGUGGUUUUGUUUUCACCCAGAUGUGUUUCAGCACUUUUGUGCUAUCUUUAAUGGGUUUAUUUGGUUCUUUUCUUUCUCACUUGAAGCUGUUCGUUGUUUAUUCUGGUAGCUCUAGAUCUAUGACACAAUUUACAGGUUGUCAUAGUUUUUUGAUGUUGUGGAUUUUUCCUUUGUUUGUGUCAAGGUAAUGGUGAUCAUUGCUGUCGCUACACAUUCAUUUUCUAAAAUUUGUUUACCAAGCACACAUUCUACUGUCAUUACAUGAACAACACAUAAUGACACGGGAAAAACUGUGCUUGGCAAACAAAGCUUAGAAAAAAUAUGGGUAACGACAACAGAGAGAAGUAAGCACAUUACCUUGACAAAAACAAAGGAAAAAAUUCUACAUCAACAAACUAUGAGACAAUUGUAAAUGAUCAACAGCAGUAUGUGAGAAAAAAAUAAACAAUUAAACUCACUGAAGGUAGAACAAAGAGCGCAGCAACUUGUCUGUGUGAAAACAAAAUCACAAAAUGGUGUCUUGCAUAAGAUAGAAUUCCUCUCCUUUUUUCUACCAAGUACAGAAAUAAGAUGAACAGCAACAUUCACAGGUGAUUAUAUCCAAACGUUAAAAAAAUACUUGGACAUUUGAAAACACCAAACAAAAAGAUACUGUUAACUUUUGUUGGUUUUAAAAAGGCUUGUGAUUUGAUAGACAGUCCCUCCUUAAACCUUGAAGGAAAUUGCAGUAGACAGGAAAACUCUGGAAAUAACUAAAAAAAUUCUUCCAAGAAGGAUGUAAGUUUAGGAUUUAACAUCCCACUGACACUGAGGUGACUAGAGAUGGCUAACACUUACAAACACAGUAUCGAAAUUAAAAAUUUCUUGGAACAGCUUGUAGUCCCUUCCAAUUGUAUCAAGAGAAAGACAAGAUACACCUAAUACGAUACACCUCUCACGACACGUGCGAAUAGCAAGAUGUCGUAAUGUUCUUGAUCAUAACCAAAGAGGAAAAGUUUUGUUUUUCUAUGUGUAGAAUCAGCUACAUACCAUCGAACGAACUUGCAGAUGAUAUGAUG